AUACGUAGGUGACAAGCGUUAUCCGGAUUUACUGGGCGUAAAGGGCGUGUAGGCGGCCUUGCAAGUCAGAAGUGAAAUUCCUGAGCUCAACUCGGGCGCUGCUUCUGAAACUGCAGGACUUGAGUGCUGGAGGGGCUCGCGGAAUUCCUAGUGGAGCGGUAAAAUGCGCAGAUAUUAGGAAGAACACCGGUGGCGAAGGCGGCUAUCUGGACAGUAACUGACGCUGAGGCGCGAAAGCGUGGGGAGCAACCAGGAUUAGAUCCCCUGGUAGUCCACGCCGUAAACGAUGAAUACUAGGUGUAGGGGGUAUCGACUCCCUCUGUGCCGCAGUUAACACAAUAAGUAUUCCGCCUGGGGAGUACGGCCGCAAGGUUGAAACUCAAAUGAAUUGACGGGG
rnacentral:rRNA from 1 species